GAAAAAAAUACUUUCUGAUGAUCAAGGAUUACAGGGGUAUUUAUAUAGAGAUUAGAGGUCUAUACAAGGAAAAAAUAAAGUUAAUUCUGCCUAGAAUUAAUCCUACAAAUUAGCCUAAUUGUUUUGACCCUAUAAUCAAGCUAACAAGAGUGAAAACAUAAUAUUACAGCUAAUAUGUACAGUUAUUACUGCUAACAUAUAUAAUAGAGAAUGUCAUGUGGCAAUACUAUGAAGGAGAACGUCAUGCAUUAGUCACGUGACAAUACCAUAAAAGAGAGUGUCAUAUGUCAGAUUCUUGGAAAUGCCUUCUUGUUUUAUAUUAUAUAGAUAUGCUCACCCUAGUGAUGUUUAUUUAUUAGCAUGCCCACCUUGGAGUAGUAGCAUAAGUUUAUGCACUUCUUAUAGAAAAACAUUAAAGAAUAUUGUUUUUGGUUUUCCAUGGUGCUCUUGUUUUAGGAUGUUUUAGAGGUAAUACACUACGAGAGAAAACUCUUGUUUUAAUGUUCUUUUCUUCUCGUUUUGGGUUCAUUUUCUUUCAAUAAAAAUUUCAUUUUUAGUAGAACAACAAAUGAUGAGUUAGCUUUUCUUUCGUAAUAUGUUUCCCUACUUGGGUCAUUUCAUAAAAUAAUUUAUUUGAUGAAUUUUAGUAAAUAUAUCUACAACCAAUUAUAUUUU
rnacentral:misc_RNA from 1 species